UGAGGAAUAUUGGACAAUGGGCGCAAGCCUGAUCCAGCCAUGCCGCGUGCAGGAUGACGGUCCUAUGGAUUGUAAACUGCUUUUGUACAGGAAGAAACAGUUCUACGUGUAGAACCUUGACGGUACUGUAAGAAUAAGGAUCGGCUAACUCCGUGCCAGCAGCCGCGGUAAUACGGAGGAUCCAAGCGUUAUCCGGAAUCAUUGGGUUUAAAGGGUCCGCAGGCGGUUAGAUAAGUCAGUGGUGAAAGCCCAUCGCUCAACGGUGGAACGGCCAUUGAUACUGUCUGACUUGAAUUAUUAGGAAGUAACUAGAAUAUGUAGUGUAGCGGUGAAAUGCUUAGAGAUUACAUGGAAUACCAAUUGCGAAGGCAGGUUACUACUAAUGGAUUGACGCUGAUGGACGAAAGCGUGGGUAGCGAACAGGAUUAGAUACCCCUGUAGUCCCUGAGCGGGCUGGCAAGGCGCAU
rnacentral:rRNA from 1 species